rnacentral:rRNA from 1 species
AUCGAACGCUGGCGGCAGGCCUAAUACAUGCAAGUCGAACGAGUGGCGGACGGGCGAGCAAUGUCUGGGAAACUGCCUGACGGAGGGGGAUAACUACUGGAAACGGUAGCUAAUACUGCAUACAACCAGAUGUGCUCAGAUGGGAUUAGCUAGUGGGUGGGGUAACGGCUCACCAAGGCGACGAUCCCUAGCUGGUCUGAGAGGGUUACCAGCCACACUGGAACUGAGACACGGUCCAGACUCCUACGGGAGGCAGCAGUGGGGAAUAUUGCGCAAUGGACGCAAGCCUGAUGCAGCCAUGCCGCGUGUGUGAAGAAGGCCUUCGGAUUGUAAAGUACUUUCGGCGGGGAAGCGUUACCCACAGAGAAAGCACCGGCUAACUCCGUGCCAGCAGCCGCGGUAAUAC